rnacentral:rRNA from 1 species
UACGUAGGUGGCAAGCGUUGUCCGGAUUUAUUGGGGUUAAAGGGUGCGUAGGCGGUCUAUUAAGUCAGUGCUGAAAUAUCCCGGCUUAACCGGGAGGGUGGCAUUGAUACUGAUGGACUUGAGUAAAGUUGAGGUUGGCGGAAUUGACGGUGUAGCGGUGAAAUGCUUAGAUAUCGUCAAGAACACCUAUUGCGAAGGCAGCUAACUAAGCUUAAACUGACGCUGAGGCACGAAAGUGUGGGGAUCAAACAGG